CUACGUUAGCAGUGAAUGCGUAGCGAUGUGACUAACACUGAUGGCGCAGCCAGCCCUCUGGCUUACACUGACGCUCAGCCACGAGAGCGUGGUGAGCAAACAGUGAUUAGAUACCAUGGUAGUGCACGCCACUAAUGAUGUCAAAUUGGUGUUGGGGGAGCGAUUCCUCAGUCUCGUAGCUAACGCGUGAAGUUGACCGCCUGGGGAGUACGGCUGCAAGGUUAAAACUCAAAGGAAUUGACGGGGACCCGCACAAGCGGUGUAUGAUGUGGAUUAAUUCGAUGCAACGCGAACAACCUUACCUACCCUUGACAUGUCCGGAAGCCCGCUGAAAGGUGGGUGUGCCCGAAAGGGAAUCGGAACACAGGUGUUGCAUGGCUGUCGUCAGCUCGUGUUGUGAGAUGUCGGGUUAAGUCCCGCAACGAGCGCAACCCUUGUCCCUAGUUGCUACGCAAGGGCACUCUAGGGAGACUGCCGGCGACAAACCGGAGGAAGGUGGGGAUGACGUCAAGUCCUCAUGGCCCUUAUGGGUAGGGCUUCACACGUCAUACAAUGGCCGGUACAGAGGGUUGCCAACCCGCGAGGGGGAGCCAAUCCCAGAAAGCCGGUCGUAGUCCGGAUUGCAGUCUGCAACUCGACUGCAUGAAGUCGGAAUCGCUAGUAAUCGCGGAUCAGCAUGCCGCGGUGAAUACGUUCCCGGGUCUUGUACACACCGCCCGUCACACCAUGGGAGCGGGAUGUACCAGAAGCAGCUAGCCUAACCGCAAGGAGGGCGGUUGCCACGGUGCGUUUCGUGACUGGGGUGAAGUCGUAACAAGGUAACCA
rnacentral:rRNA from 1 species